rnacentral:misc_RNA from 1 species
AGAAGCAAAACAACAAAACAAAGGAGAAAAACGAGGUCCCUUUACCAACGCACUCGCCCCUCGAAUCCUUGCUGAGCGGCACCUCAUCCCCGCAGAGCACGAACGCAGAAAGAAGGUACGAAACAUAAACCACAGCAAACAACGCAAGCUUCUUUACUGGAAAAACAUCAUUUUUUUUUUUGACACGUGAACUGCACAACCUUCCAUACGUGAAACACAACUCACACACACUCUCGCAUAGUCCAGAACCAUGAGCGGCCCUUACACUACGAAUCCGACCUCGGCAAGGCUCCCUCAUAAUGUGCUAGCGACACAGCUAAAUACGGAGGGGGAGGGGCCGCAAAGGAUGUUCAUGGAUGCUUCCCCAGCCGAUCAUCCUCUGAUGACACAGCACCAGAUUCCUCGGCCGCUGGACCCCCGAAAACUGAAGCCGCCUCAUACUAAUUGUGACGCUCCGUCCUUUUCACCACCACAACGACAUCUUAACCCUCAUCCGCUUCCAGAGUCGAAAUACACAGCUGAGAAAGUCCCGAACCCGAUGACGCCUGCCAUUGCUGAUGACCUUGACGGCUUUGAUCAGGAGACUGUAUCACAAAAUGAGCAGCCAUCGCCCUCAUUUUGCUCCAUCUCGAAUGCUCGUAUGAUCAUGGUGCAGGCCAUUGGUGGCAGCCUCAACGGCUACUCGAUCGGCUUUGUCGGCGUGUACUCAACGCUGUUUGGCUACAGCACGAACUGCGCGAACUUCCGCAGCGAGAGAGGCUGCACGACGGCGCCGAACGCCGACUGCCAGUGGUUUCCGAACGCGACUGGCACCGGCUACUGUGGCUGGCCCGAGAUCACGUGCCGCAGAACAUACACCUACUCGAGUGCUUCGGAAAUGCCGGGUGCGAUUACCCAGUGCGAGGCAGACCCGCGGUGCAGGUGGUCCUACAGCGCCAAGGAGUGCCAGAACCCGUCGGGCUACUCGUCGUCGGAAAGCGGUAUCUUCGCCGGCUCGAUGAUUGCCGGCUGCUUGAUCGGCUCCGUGUUUGCUGGCCCGCUUGCGUCGACGAUUGGCGCGAGGCUCUCGUUUCUGCUCGUUGGCCUCGUGGGUGUUGUGUCGUCCGUGAUGUGCCAUGUGUCGACCUCCGAGAACGAGUUUUGGGUGCUGAUUGUCGGCCGCUUCGCGAUUGGCCUGUUCCUGGGCGUGAUCGGUGUUGCGUGCCCUGUGUACACUGACCAGAACGCGCACCCGAAGUGGAAGCGCACGAUUGGUGUGAUGUUCCAGGUGUUCACGACACUGGGCAUCUUCGUUGCGGCGGCGGUUGGCCUUGCACUUGGCCAGAGCAUCUGGUUUGACCGCGACAAGGACCAGAUGGUGAUGGCGCGCAUGCAGGGCCUGUGCGCAUUCUCGACCCUGUUCAGCCUGCUGACGAUCCUGCUUGGGAUUGUGAUGAGCGAAUCGCGCGCGAAGUUCGGCGGCGACGAUGAGGAGGGCGGCAUUGAGCUGGACCCGAACGAGUACGGCUACGUCGAAAUGAUCCCGCGCCUGCUGAUGGGCGCCGUGAUGGCUGGCACGCUGCAGCUGACUGGCAUCAACGCUGUGAUGAACUACGCGCCGGCGAUCAUGGGCAGUCUUGGCCUGGCGCCGCUGGUGGGCAACUUCGUUGUGAUGCUGUGGAACUUCGUGACGACGCUUGCGUCGAUCCCGCUCUCGUACGUGUUCACGAUGCGCCAGCUGUUCCUCUUCGGCUCGCUCUUCACGUCGAGCAUGUGCCUGCUCAUGUGCGGUAUUCCCGUGUACCCUGGUGUCAGCAAGAAGACGGAGGUGAAGAACGGCGUGGCCAUCACUGGCAUCCUGCUGUUCAUUCUCGGCUUCGAGGUGUGCGUGGGCCCGUGCUACUACGUUCUGACGCAGGACAUGUUCCCGCUGUCGUUCCGCCCGCGCGGUGCGUCGUUCACGCAGGUGACCCAGUUCAUCUUCAACCUGAUCAUCAACGUGUGCUACCCGAUCGCGACCGAACACAUCUCUGGCGGCCCUUCAGGCAACCAGGACAAGGGCCAGGCCGUUGCCUUCAUCUUCUUCGGCUGCGUGGGCAUUAUCUGCUUCAUCGUCCAGGUCUUCUUCCUGCACCCGUGGGACGAGAAGCGCGAUGGCAAGAAGAGGGCGGCGGCCCCGGCUGACGGGAAGAAGGAGCUGAGCUCCUCGCUCAGCGGCAACAGGGCUGAGUGAGCAGAAUGAGGAGGAUGCUGCAGUGGCCUUCCCGCCUUCUCUCUCGCGCCUCAGUCAGGGCCGUGUGCCCGUGACUAGACGUGCGUCGGCGCGCCGCGAUGGCUUCGACUCCGCUGGCCUUGACCGCGCUUGCGGGGAGCGCCGUGCCGCGCCAACGCACUUUUUUUGUGUUGGGAUUCUCUCUCUCACGAUGGUAUCUUCAACCUGACUGUGAUAUCAGUUUCCUGCGCCGACUCUAUGGGUGGAAGCGAUGAGCCUAUAUUACCCUCGUGGGCUUAGCUGCAUGCGCUCGUCGCCGACGGAGACAUCGGGGCUGUUGCUGUUGUUAGGGGUCUUGUUGUCGAGAUCUUGUUUCUGUCCGGAAACGUUCGAAUGAUAUCAUCAGCUCCAGUGGCGCACACAAGCGCCUUUUGUUUUUUUUUCUGUGCUUCAGCAGUGUCGCGGCGAUAUUGGGCGUCGUCCUGCACCGAGCGCGUUGCGUGCAGUGGAGUUGCAGUCUGCUGAGCAACUCUCGGCAGCAUUAGUUGGCCCGCUUCCUUGACGGAGCUUGGCUGCCACUCUGCGCUCUGCAGGGGAUGCACGUCGCCCCACAGGGCUGUGGGCCAUGUCUUCGCUCGGGGCUGUCCGCAUUGGCGCGCCGCCAGAGAGACGAAAGGCGGCGAUGGCGUCUCCGUGGUCAUCCAACAGGACAUAGGGGUAACUGUAAUGCGCUACGGUCGCAAGGGUGAGGUUGCGGCUGCGGCUGUCCGGCGUUGCGGCGGUAACCACACUAGACGGAUCCACUUCACGUUCGGAUACACACCGAAGAGUGGCCUGUUGACACAGGCGUUUCUCGGUCAGAAAGCAGGCAAUGUCGCACACCGGCCUAGCGCUUUUGGCGUGGAGGCGAACCAGUCCGGGCUGGCACGAUUCUGCAGGAGUGGCUCAGUGAGCAAUGCGUGACAUGUGCCGACGACAAAGCCACAUCGACACGGCACGGCGCAGACGGAGCCACAGAGACGUUACGCUGGCACUUGAAUGCCCCAUGUGCGAUUGGGGCACCGUCACCACGGCGCCGAGUGGCCGCUUGCGCGAUCGGAUUCGCUCCCCACUUUGAAGAGGGAUGUGACCCGGUGCCGCCGGUGACGACUGCGGAGCCCAAUUGUACCCGCUCCACGCGGCGCACCGGAAACUGCACUGCGCCCCUUUCGCCCAACCGAUCCGCAACCACCGUGCAUGCCAUCGCUACAGCGAGGCGAAGACACGCGAGCUUCGGAGUGCCGCUAUGAUCCCGACUCCUAAGAGAACCCGUCAGCGCUUCACGGAAGAAGGGCACAGCGUCCAUGCAGUCAUCAGCAUCACCCGCCAUACAUACACAGCUGCACCAUGUUUCUCAAGGAAAAGGUAAGAUUCCUAACAAAACUAAGAGCUAAGACCAUCAGCAGUGCUGUCCUGUCUGGCAAGUUCGUGUAUAAACUCCUCUGGACAACAAAACUGACGCUAUUGAAAGCGGCUCUCGAGAAGCUUUCCUGCGCGUCGCAGGAGCAUCGCCCUCCCUCCCCCCCGAGAUGCUCAUCAAAGAGCCGGGAUUGAAGGAUUGAGGCAGUCCUGCAACGCCCUUUCCCCUCCCCAAAGGCGACCUUUGAACGCAGGCAUGCACCCAGGCUAUCCAUGACCACCACACGCUACAUGUGCGAGCAAUGCGACAAGGCGACCGCCACCUCAGUACGAGCGAGCAGGCCAGCGUAUUACCGAUGCACCAACACAAGUCACCGCAGCAUUCGGCAGCCCCCUCCCCCCCCUGCGUCGUUCGAACUGCCCACGGUGGGCGGGCUCGUGGUGAAAGGGCUCAUUUACGAAACGAAGGCUUUUACCUGUGAUGUGCUCUCCCAUUGUGACGUGCCUCGUUCUCCCUUCGCGUGCGGUCAUACGAGUGUUGCGCGUGCGCUCGUCGAACAGUGCCCGACUCGUGUCGUUGGUGUUGCCCCCCCCCCCCCCCCCCCCCAUGUCCUCUCCUCCCGCCCCCCACGCGCGCUCGUUCAGACUCUUUCGUCUUUUGCACGAGCUGGAAGACGGUGCCUGCGCGGCGUUGCCUGCUGCCGGUGCUGGUGGCGCGGAGGAUGGGAGGUGCGGUGCGAGCGGGCGGGGGUGGCGCGCGACGAGCGCAAGGGACGGCAGUAUCCAAAAGAUGAAAAGCGGUACCUUCUCUCUUUCUUUUCAUUAGUAUCGCGUGCGCAGGGGUGCGGCGCGUGCGGACGGGAACGAUGCCUGCUGGAGACGGCCGUCUCGGCUGCGCGCAGACGCCGGUGUGCCCUGACGCGGCGCGAGAAAAGAUUGUGAGCGAAGAGGAUGGUUAGAGGCUUCGCUGUUUCACUCUAUCAAAAGCAAAUGGACGCGUGCUCCUCUCUCUACUCGUUUCUCUCGCCGUCCUUUCGGGCGGCCUGCGCAAGCCUCACGGCGCACGCAAGCGAAGGCGAGAUGGCCAGCGUGAUGCGCCUCCGAGGGACCGCAGAGCGUGGCGCUGACCUCCUCUCAAUUUGCACACGUGAGUAGAACCAGUGGAGCGCUUUCGUCGUUUCGUUUCUGUCUUGUUUUCUCUCGCCUUUAGCUGCCGCUGUCACCGUCCCACCUGAAUGGGUGCAGGAUCGCGGAAAGGCACAUCGCCUCUCUUGCUAACUGUUCCUGGACUUCACUGAGUGUUCG